rnacentral:rRNA from 1 species
CGGCAGGCUUACACAUGCAAGUCGAGGGGUAACAGGGAGUGCUUGCACUCCGCUGACGACCGGCGCACGGGUGCGUAACGCGUAUGCAACCUACCUUCUACAGGGGGAUAGCCCAGAGAAAUUUGGAAUAAUACCCCAUACGAUCAUUAAUCGGCAUCGAUUGAUGAAGAAAACUCCGGUGGUAGAAGAUGGGCAUGCGUCCUAUUAGUUAGUUGGUGAGGUAACGGCUCACCAAGACGUCGAUAGGUAGGGGUCCUGAGAGGGAGAUCCCCCACACUGGUACUGAGACACGGACCAGACUCCUACGGGAGGCAGCAGUGAGGAAUAUUGGACAAUGGAGGCAACUCUGAUCCAGCCAUGCCGCGUGCAGGAAGACGGCCCUAUGGGUUGUAAACUGCUUUUAUACAGGAAGAAUUGUACCUACGUGUAGGUAUUUGACGGUACUGUACGAAUAAGGAUCGGCUAACUCCG